UACGUAGGGGGCAAGCGUUGUCCGGAUUUAUUGGGCGUAAAGAGCGUGUAGGCGGCUUUACAGGUCCGUUGUGAAAACUCGAGGCUCAACCUCGAGACGCCGGUGGAAACCGUAAAGCUAGAGUCGGAAGAGGAGAGUGAAUUCCUGGUGUAGCGGUGAAAUGCGCAGAUAUCAGGAGGAACACCCGUGGCGAAAGCGGCUCUCUGGGACGGUACUGACGCUGAGACGCGAAAGCGUGGGGAGCAAACAGG
rnacentral:rRNA from 1 species